rnacentral:rRNA from 1 species
GAUGAACGCUAGCGGCAGGCUUAACACAUGCAAGUCGAGGGGCAGCAGGGACUUCGGUUCGCUGGCGACCGGCAAACGGGUGCGGAACACGUACACAAUCUACCUUUAUCUGGGGUAUAGCCCGAAGAAAUUCGGAUUAAUCCCCCAUAAUAUAUUUGAGUGGCAUCACUUAGAUAUUAAAACUCCGGUGGAUAAAGAUGAGUGUGCGUCCCAUUAGCUAGUUGGUAGGGUAACGGCCUACCAAGGCAACGAUGGGUAGCUGGUGUGAGAGCACGACCAGCCACACGGGCACUGAGACACGGGCCCGACUCCUACGGGAGGCAGCAGUGAGGAAUAUUGGUCAAUGGACGCAAGUCUGAACCAGCCAUGCCGCGUGAGGGAUGAAGGCCUUCUGGGGUUGUAAAACUUCUUUUAUUGGGGGAAGAAAAUUACGGUUUCUACUGUAACCGACGGUACCCAAGGAAUAAGCACCGGCUAACUCCGUGCCAGCAGCCGCGGUAAU